AAUCAGUAGAUAACUUAUUUGUUACUCUUUAGUAUGCUUACUAUUACGAACGAGUGCUGUGACAUUUACUUUUUUAUAUUAGUGUUAGUACCUGUUCUAAUAAUAUUGAAAUGUCUAAACGUCAGUGUAACUAUAAGGAUAAUUUUUCUAAAUAAUGGGAUUGCAUAAUAAGAAGUCGUUAUAAAGCAGAAAUUGAAUGCACACUGUACCAUUCCAUUCAUUUUUGAGUAUUGAACAUAGUGAGUGAAGUGAUAUUGAAGAUCAUUUAAAAUCAAAAAAACAUAAAUUGAAAAUUACUAAGUUCAGCAGGUUUUUCAAAAAAAAAUUGAAACAUUUUUUCAAAAUAUAGGUAAUUCAAAGGAAAAAAUGAAAGUUCAUGCAGCUGAACUUACUCAAGCCUACCCAGUAGCGACGCCAAGAUAUUUUUUUAGGUAGAGCCAAUAGGAGGCCAACAAUUACAAAGUAGGGCCACAAAAAAAAUGAGAUUUCAGCGGAAAAAAAAACAAUACUGAUAGCCCAAGUAGGUAAAUUCUAUUUAACUUUUAUUUAACAAACUAUUAAAUAUAAACCAUAAAUAAAACAUAUUCAAUAUAAGUGCCUAUGAAAACAUGUAUAUAUAGAUGUAUGUUACAAACUAAAGUAUCUCAACCACCAAGUAAGGAAAUAUUUUGAACAUGUAUAAUAACUAUAAUAAUAAUUUCUAUCAUCUCACUCAAAACUUUUAAGAAAUUAAAAAUUAAAAUACAUUUUUUUUUUUUUAAAAUGAAAGCAAACCAAAAGUGUUAAGUUAAUUUUUAAAAAUUAAAUAGGCUAUACUACGUUUUGUUACUUUGAAAUGUGUACAAACAAUGCAUCCAUUGUAGACUAACAAUAUAAAAAAAUGACAAAAUAUUCAUUCGGCUGAGAUUAAACAUACGACCUUUUGCAAUAUAAUGUAGCAGUAUAUUAAAGUUACAUACGGUGAACAUGUACUAUUAUUUUCUGCUUCCAUAAAAUUAUUAUAAUUUUUUUAUAUUAUAAUGUCAAAGGUCAGGCCAGUGGUAGGGCUAUUGGUAGAGAUAGGCAUUUUCAUGUAGGGCCAUGACUCUAUCUGGCAAGUCCCUGGCGCCGCCCACUGAGCCUACAAUUCUGUUCUUAACCACCAAAGUUUUAAUUCAAUAUACAUGAAAAACAAAUAAAUAAAUGGAAUUAUAUGGAAUUUAGUUAUGAGAAAUUGAUAGAUUCUUUAAGAAUUGUGUCAGUUAUGUACAGUAAGUAUAGUAAAUUACUUAAACUUCGUCAAUACAUAUUUGCUAUUCCAGCUCAUAAUGCAAAUGUAGAGAGAAUUUGUUUUAAUAUGAACAGUCAAUGAACUUAUGAAAUGAAUCAAAUGGAAAUAGAAACAAUUGAAGCAAUUUUUCAUGUUCAAACAAAUUUUAAUUUGAGUUGUUCAAAUUUUUCUAAUUAAGUUGAAUCAAAAUUCAUUAUUGUUAAAACUAGUUAAGUCAAAUUCAAAGUAUCAUUAAUAAUUAAUUUAAAAUGUUUUCUUAAUUAAUAAUAUUAAUUCUUAAAUUAAUAUAAUGACAUAAUCUAUUUAUAUUUCAUACAUAUAAAUUGUAUACAUAAAUAUUUUGUUGUCUCAGUUUUUUGUUUUAUUGAUCUGGUCACCCUAUAUACCACUAAGAUUAUUCUUUAACUAAUGGUGUUAUAUAAAUUUAAUGAUUGAAUAUCGAGUUGCCCAUUUUAAUUUCCCUAAAUAAUUAUCAUUAUUCAUUAUGUUUUGGUACAACUUAUUUGAAUUGUUACAGAUUAUCAUAUAAGUCAUGAAAAAUAACAAGUCUAAUUAAAAAUGUUUUAAGCUUUUUAAUAACUUAUAAAUUGAUUAUAGGUACAUUAUUAAAAUAUUUUUUUUUUGUUUUCAGAAACAUUGGAUAACUUUGGUCACCGUUUACAGUGAAUUGAGUAUCUGAUUAUGAGUGCUGGAAUUCUAUUUCUUAUGAUUGAAGAUUACAUUUUUAAGGAAAUUACUAAGAAAUUUUCAAAAAAAAUACACAAUGUUCGGCCAACAUUAAUGAAAAAGAUUAACAUAU